AUUGUAGAACCCUGCAGAACAGAUAAAAAGUUGUUUACUAUAUUUUAAACGGUGUCCCCUUGGACGGUAGGUGGUGACGUGCAUCAACAGCAUUCGUUAGUGCACAAAAAAAAUCGAGGAAAAAUGUGGCGCGCUGGGAACUCUGGGUAGGACUUCCUAGGUCAGCCAUAUUUUAUCGUCCUGGCUGAAGGAUAGAGGGGCGAUGAAGGGGAUUCAGGGAAUAAGUAAGCUGUCGAGACGCUUCUAUGCAGCCACCCGAACAGAGCAGCCCUUGACUCAGCCUCUGUCGGGUAUCAGGGUCUCCACAGGGGCUGCCCAUUCAUACCAGGAUGUCCAUGUGACCAAACUGCCCAGCGGUCUGAUGAUAGCCUCGUUGGACAACUACUCCCCAGGUUCCAGGAUCGGUGUGUUUGUGAAGGCUGGCUGUCGCUAUGAGUCCCCAGAGAACCAGGGAGUCACCCACCUGCUCCGUCUGGCUGCCAACCUGACUACCAAAGGUGCUUCAGCCUUCAGGAUCUGUCGUGGUGUGGAGGCAGUGGGAGGCAGUCUAGGCGUGACGUCAUCCAGAGAGAACAUGAUCUACUCGUUUGACUGUCUCAGAGACCACAUUGACACGGUGAUGGAGUAUCUGAUCAAUGUGACCACAGCCCCAGAGUUCAGGCCGUGGGAGGUGUCGGACCUCACCCCCAGGGUCAAGAUGGACAAGGCCCUAGCUGCGCAGACCCCCCAGAUGGGUGUGAUUGAGGGUCUACAUGGAGCUGCUUACAAGAACGCCCUGUCCAACUCCCUCUACUGCCCAGACUACAUGGUUAGCCAGGUCGAUUCUGACCAUAUGCACAAUUUUAUCCAGAACAAUUUCACAAGUGCAAGAAUGGCUCUGGUUGGGCUUGGUGUGGACCACAAUGUUCUGAAGCAGGUGGGAGAGCAGUUCCUCAACAUCCGCAGUGGGAUGGGCACUGCUGGGACAAAGGCUCAGUACCGCGGUGGCGAGGUGCGGGUGCAGAACGGGUCCAGCCUGGUGCACUCUGUGGUGGUGUCUGAGGGGGCAGCGGUGGGCACAGACGAGGCUAUGGCCUUCUCUGUACUACAGCACGUCCUGGGGGCGGGGCCACACAUCAAGAGAGGCUCUAACCCCACCUCCAAACUCUUCCAGGGCGUCGCUAAGGCUACUGCAGACCCCUUCGACGCCUCUGCUUUCAAUUCCAACUACUCUGACUCUGGCCUGUUUGGAGUCUACACCAUCUCCCAGUCUGCAGCAGCUGGUGACGUGAGUGAUCAAGGCAGCUAUUAGCCAGGUGAAGGCUGUUACAGGAGGAGUCUCAGAAGCUGACCUGACCCGCGCCAAGACCCAGCUGAAGGCUGAGUACCUGAUGUCGUUGGAGAGCUCAGAGGGUUUGUUAGACGCCAUGGGUUCACAGGCUCUGUCCGGAGGCGUCUACCACUCCCCCGAGGCCAUCGCACAGAAGAUCGACUCCGUCUCCGCAACUGAUGUCGCCAACGCUGCAAAUAAGUUUGUUUCAGGCAAGAAGUCCAUGGCUUCCAGUGGAAACCUCAUCAAGACGCCCUUCGUUGACGAGAUCUAAAGCCUUUCAACUGUAUUUCACAUGUGAUAUUAACUCCCAACAAAGCCCUCUGUCCAUUCAAAACAAACAAACUGAAACAGUCAUUAUCCUAAUUGUGUCAUUGUUCUUUUGAGGAAGUUAUGUUGUAAUCACACCAACUGCCAAUAUUUAUAGUUGUUGCCAUUUUUACGUGGAUCUUGAACUGUAUAGCUCAUGUAAAUUAAUGAAUAAAGAAUAUCUACCGUAAAGGUGGAAUAAGUAGUUUUUUACUCUUGUAAAUAGACCUAAUGUCUUACCAGGUGAUAAUAAAUUAAACCUUUUGAUCCAUGAAAAA